rnacentral:rRNA from 1 species
CAUUCACGGAGAGUUUGAUCGUGGCUCAGGACGAACGCUGGCGGCGUGCGUAACACAUGCAAGUCGAACGGUGAAGCCGUUCGGGGUGGAUCAGUGGCGAACGGGUGAGUAACACGUGGGCAAUCUGCCCUGCACUCUGGGACAAGCCCUGGAAACGGGGUCUAAUACCGGAUAUGAC